UCCCUGAUGUUAGCGGCGGACGGGUGAGUAACACGUGGGUAACCUGCCUGUAAGACUGGGAUAACUCCGGGAAACCGGGGCUAAUACCGGAUGGUUGUUUGAACCGCAUGGUUCAAACAUAAAAGGUGGCUUCGGCUACCACUUACAGAUGGACCCGCGGCGCAUUAGCUAGUUGGUGAGGUAAUGGCUCACCAAGGCAACGAUGCGUAGCCGACCUGAGAGGGUGAUCGGCCACACUGGGACUGAGACACGGCCCAGACUCCUACGGGAGGCAGCAGUGGUCA
rnacentral:rRNA from 1 species